rnacentral:rRNA from 1 species
GACGAACGCUGGCGGCGUGCCUAAUACAUGCAAGUAGAACGCAGUUGCGAACGGGUGAGUAACGCGUAGGUAACUGCCUCAUAGCGGGGGAUAACUAUUGGAAACGAUAGCUAAUACCGCAUACUGUGAGAUGGACCUGCGUUGUAUUAGCUAGUUGGUGAGGUAAAGGCUCAACAAGGCGACGAUACAUAGCCGACCUGAGAGGGUGAGCGGCCACACUGGGAAUGAGACACGGCCCAGACGCCUACGGGAGGCAGCAGUGGGGAAUAUUGCACAAGGGGCGCAAGCCUGAUGCAGCCAUGCCGCGUGUGUGAAGAAGGGCUUCGGGUUGUAAAGCACUUUCAGCGGGGAGCGUUACCCGCAGAAGAAGCACCGGCUAACUCCGUGCCAGCAGCCGCGGUAAUAC